GACGGAGGAUGCAAGUGUUAUCCGGAAUCACUGGGCGUAAAGCGUCUGUAGGUGGUCAAAUAAGUCAACUGUUAAAUCUUGAGGCUCAACCUCAAAAUCGCAGUCGAAACUAUUCGACUAGAGUAUAGGUAGGGGUAAAGGGUAAUUCCAGUGGAGCGGUGAAAUGCGUAGAUAUCGGGAAGAACACCAAAGGCGAAAGCGCUCUGCUGGGCCGAAAACUGACACUGAGAGACGAAAGCUAGGGGAGCGAAUGGG
rnacentral:rRNA from 1 species